CCUACGGGAGGCAGCAGUGGGGAAUAUUGCACAAUGGGGGAAACCCUGAUGCAGCAACGCCGCGUGAGCGAUGAAGGCCUUCGGGUCGGAAAGCUCUGUCCUAAGGGAAGACUACUGACGGUACCUUAGGAGGAAGCCCAGGCGAACUACGUCCCAGCAGCCGCGGUAAUACGUAGGGGGCUAGGGUUAUCCGGAAUUACUGGGCGUAAAGGGUGCGUAGUCGGCCUUUCAAGGAAGAGGUGGAAGGCUACGGCUCAAGCGUAGUAAGGCUUUGAAACAGUAGGGCUUGAGUGCAGGAGAGGAGAGUGGAAUGACCAUUGUAGCGGUGAAGUGGGUAGAGAUUGGGAGGAACAACAGUGACGAAGGCGGUUCUUUAGUCUGUAACUGGCGCUGAGGCGCGAAAGCGUGGGGAGUGAAUAGGAUUAGAUACCCUGGUAGUC
rnacentral:rRNA from 1 species